AUACUUACCUGGCAGGGGAGAUACCAUGAUCACAGGGGUUUUCCCAGGGCAAGUCUUGUGCAUUGCAAUCCGUAUGUGCUGACCCUGCGAUUUCUCAAAUGUGGGGAACUUGACUCUGCUUUAUUUGUGCUGGUGAGGGACUGUGUUUGUGGGCUCCCCUG